rnacentral:rRNA from 1 species
AUUGAACGCUGGCGGCAUGCCUUACACAUGCAAGUCGAACGGUAACGGGCCUUCGGGUGCCGACGAGUGGCGAACGGGUGAGUAAUACAUCGGAACGUGCCCGAUCGUGGGGGAUAACGAGGCGAAAGCUUUGCUAAUACCGCAUACGAUCUACGGAUGACAGCAGGGGACCGCAAGGCCUUGCGCGGACGGAGCGGCCGAUGGCAGAUUAGGUAGUUGGUGGGAUAAAAGCUUACCAAGCCGACGAUCUGUAGCUGGUCUGAGAGGAUGAUCAGCCACACUGGGACUGAGACACGGCCCAGACUCCUACGGGAGGCAGCAGUGGGGAAUUUUGGACAAAGGGCGCAAGCCUGAUCCAGCCAUGCCGCGUGCAGGAUGAAGGCCUUCGGGUUGUAAACUGCUUUUGUACGGAACGAAAAGCCUUCUUUUAAUACAGGAGGGUCAUGACGGUACCGUAAGAAUAAGCACCGGCUAACUACGUG